AUUGAACGCUGGCGGAAUGCUUUACACAUGCAAGUCGAACGGCAGCACGGACUUCGGUCUGGUGGCGAGUGGCGAACGGGUGAGUAAUAUAUCGGAACGUGCCCAGUCGUGGGGGAUAACGUAGCGAAAGUUACGCUAAUACCGCAUACGAUCUAAGGAUGAAAGCGGGGGAUCGCAAGACCUCGCGCGAUUGGAGCGGCCGAUAUCAGAUUAGGUAGUUGGUGGGGUAAAGGCUCACCAAGCCAACGAUCUGUAGCUGGUCUGAGAGGACGACCAGCCACACUGGAACUGAGACACGGUCCAGACUCCUACGGGAGGCAGCAGUGGGGAAUUUUGGACAAUGGACGCAAGUCUGAUCCAGCCAUUCCGCGUGCAGGAUGAAGGCCCUCGGGUUGUAAACUGCUUUUGUACGGAACGAAAAGGUCUCUCUUAGUACGGGGGGCUCAUGACGGUACUGUAAGAAUAAGCACCGGCUAACUACGUGCCAGCCGCCGCCGUAA
rnacentral:rRNA from 1 species